GCUCCGACCGGGAGAGCCCCGGGAAGCGUCGGGAGCAUCGGGAUAAUCGGCACCGCUCCCUUGUCCCGCCGCACCGGCCUCGGGUGGCUUGAGAACAAGGACAAGCUCGGCUGUCCCCGCCCCGCAGCGAGGGCCGUGACCUGCCCUGCAGAGAAUAGAUUUCCAUGGGAACUUUUGGAGCAGCACUCGACCUUGUCUUCAAGCAGCUCUGGGCCAUGACUCAUUUGGCAAUUCCUCACAAAAACAAUAGCUCCUGGAUCCUUGAAAGACCAACUCCUAAUCACACUUUGUUCUGUGCUGAUAAGCAAUUCAUAAACCCACACAUAUUAUUUACCUCCAGUGUCCUUCACUCCUGCUCCAGUGCACUUAAUUCAGCUUUUUAAUAAGGAAACUUCUGGCUGUGCAAUAAAUGAACUGAGGGAGAGUUUGAUUUAUCAGUUCUCUGGUUUAUUUUCUCUUUCUGUAGUGGAGAAAUCACACAUUCCAGCCACAAACUUGGCUGCAGAAAAUCAAAAUGCAUUUUCAAACUUCAGACAUUUUUAGUACCAGAAGAAGCCAGUUGGAUGAACACAAAUCAGUAAGUAAUUAUUUCUUGACAUUAUUAAUAAAAACAACUGAUUACAUGUUUCUAUUAAUGGUACAUCCUUGCUAUUUUUAUUUUCCCCUAAUUUAAUUUUCUUCUGAAAGUAAGGAAUGUCUCUACACAGCAGUGAUUUUGUUCUGGUCUUAUGAGCCUCUCCCCAAACUGGUCACCCUGAAGCCCUAAAACAACUCACUGUCCUUAAGAAACAGCCUCAAGAAGCAGCUCUGGACCUCCCAAAGAUCUGCUGUGCUCAGAAAUAAUAAGGCACCUACUUCCUCCCCCCAGCUCCAUGUCUCCUGUGGGAAAAGGGGCUGGCAGGGGAGUGGGAAAAGGGCUGGCAAUGACAUAAUGAAGAGUGAAAUCAGGUAAACAAGGUCAGGCACCUUCCCAUUCCCACUUUGCUCAGCUCACCAGGGGCAGACAGUUUUCUCGCUCACAAACUGCCCGUGAGGAGCGUCAGCAUCUGAAGGCAAAAGGGCCAAAUAAACCGGGGUCUCAGCCCCUUCCUCUGGGGAUUUGGUGGCCUGGGGACCUGCCAUGUCUGUCCUCACCCAGCCAGGGCAGCAGGCAUUGAGCAGGAUGUGCUCCCCUUUCCUAUUUUGGUUUAACAGCCGGGCUUGGAUCCUGGACAGGACGGUGACCCCGAUUUUGGACACCCCAUAGGCGGUGUUUGGCCAACCCUCUUUGUCGUGCACACCUUUCCUGGUGUCCUCCACGAAUUUGUUCAUGAGCUGCACCAACUCCUCCUCUGUGAUGGUGUCACUGCGGAAUUUCUGCUGGAGUUCCUGGCUGCAGCGGCCCAGGGCUGAGCAGCUCACCGUGCUGGACACGUUCACCACCCGGCCUGCAAAAGGCAAAAAAACCUGAUUAUUUUGACACUUCUUAAGCCCAGCACUGAGGUGGGGCUGCUCUACAGCUCAAAUAUUUCAUGUGGGCUAUCUUGCAGAACUCUGGGAAGAUCAGAGUUAACUCCACGUGUCACACAUUUCUAGGAAAUCCCAUUCCAGAGGUGAUUUAAUUAAACCCUCAACAUCUGUUCCUGGAUGUAUUUCAGAACAGUUUGCACUUUAUACUUGUCCUUCCCAGCCUUCUAGCUCCAAAAUAGCCCUUUUCUAUGGCCCUGAGAGGAUCAGCAUCACAAUACAUGCAUGUUGCCAGCAGGGAAAGAUCCUUAUUUAGUAAGUUUGGAAUAAAGAAAGAUAGCAAGCAGCAUCUCCCUGGAGUGCUCUGUUGUUUUUGCAGAACUCUGGGAAGAUCAGAGUUAACUCCACGUCACACAUUUCUAGAAAAAUCCCGUUCCAGAGGUAAUUUAAGCUGUGCACCUGCAAAAGCUCUCUAUCAAAUGUCACAUAAGCCUCCAGGAAACAACCUCUUACAAUCUGUAGGUAUUUUCACAGUGCUAAGAAUACCUGAGGAUUUCCUAAUCCCAGCAAAAAAACCUGCAGUGUUCAUCUCCCAGCACUUCAGUACAGAGGAGUGAGUCAGGUAAUCAGUAAAUCAUUCAUUGUCUCCAACAUUAUCUUGCAGUGUUUUCCCUCUUUCUUGAGACUUUCCAGCCAUUCAGGUGAUGAACAUGGGGAUUUAACCUUAUAAGGCACAGAAAUUAAUCCUUUCUGUUAAUGAUUUUAUUAACACACUCACCCUUCACCCUUAGUAUAAGAGUAUAAGUUGUAAUUUUGGCACUGUUUACUCCUUCCCUAGCUGGCCCCCAAAAUUCAUUUAUUCUGUCUUCUCCUUCUCCACCAGGAACUAAAAAUUCUCAAAUUCUCUUUCAUCUGCUUGACUUCUCUU